AUUGAACGCUGGCGGCAGGCCUAACACAUGCAAGUCGAACGAGUGGCGGACGGGUGAGUAAUGUCUGGGAAACUGCCCGAUGGAGGGGGAUAACUACUGGAAACGGUAGCUAAUACCGCAUACCAUCGGAUGUGCCCAGAUGGGAGUAGCUUGUAGGUGUGGUAACGGCUCACCUAGGCGCCGAUCCCUAGCUGGUCUGAGAGGCUGACCGGACACACUUGAAGUGAGGCGCGGUCCAGACUCCUACGGGAGGCAGCAGUGGGGAAUAUUGCACAAUGGGCGCAAGCCUGAGACAGCAAUGCCGCGUGUAUGAAGAAGGCCUUCGGGUUGUAAAGUACUUUCAGCGGGGAGGCGUUACCCUCAGAAGAAGCAACGGCUAACUCCGUGCCAGCAGCCGCGGUAAUUC
rnacentral:rRNA from 1 species